UAUUGUCUUGAGGAAACACCUGAUCCCUUUCCGAACUCAGCAGUUAAGCUCAAAGACGCCAAUGGUACUGCGGGGGUGACUCCGUGGGAGAGUAGGUCGCCGCCAACA
rnacentral:rRNA from 1 species